CCUACGGGUGGCUGCAGUGAGGAAUAUUGGUCAAUGGACGAGAGUCUGAACCAGCCAAGUAGCGUGAAGGAUGACUGCCCUAUGGGUUGUAAACUUCUUUUAUAUGGGAAUAAAACGUUCCACGUGUGGGAUUUUGUAUGUACCAUAUGAAUAAGGAUCGGCUAACUCCGUGCCAGCAGCCGCGGUAAUACGGAGGAUCCGAGCGUUAUCCGGAUUUAUUGGGUUUAAAGGGAGCGUAGGUGGCUUGUUAAGUCAGUUGUGAAAGUUUGCGGCUCAACCGUAAAAUUGCAGUUGAAACUGGCAGUCUUGAGGACAGUAGAGGUGGGCGGAAUUCGUGGUGUAGCGGUGAAAUGCUUAGAUAUCACGAAGAACUCCGAUUGCGAAGGCAGUUCACUGGACUGCAACUGACACUGAGGCUCGAAAGUGUGGGUAUCAAACAGGAUUAGAUACCCUAGUAGUC
rnacentral:rRNA from 1 species